AUACUAACCUGGACGGGUCAAUGGGUGAUCAAGAAUGCCCAUGACCUAGACGAGUGACCUCCAUUGCACUUAGGAGGGUUGCUGGUCUAUGGCACACCCAAGUAGUGGAGCCACGUCACAAUUUUUGGUAGUGGGGCCUGCAUUCGUGCUGCCCCUUU